UACGUAGGGUGCAAGCGUUAAUCGGAAUUACUGGGCGUAAAGCGUGCGCAGGCGGUUUUGUAAGUCUGUCGUGAAAGCCCCGGGCUCAACCUGGGAAUUGCGAUGGAGACUGCAAGGCUUGAAUCUGGCAGAGGGGGGUAGAAUUCCACGUGUAGCAGUGAAAUGCGUAGAGAUGUGGAGGAACACCGAUGGCGAAGGCAGCCCC
rnacentral:rRNA from 1 species